rnacentral:rRNA from 1 species
GAUGAACGCUGGCGGCGUGCCUAAUACAUGCAAGUCGAGCGAACAGACGAGGAGCUUGCUCCUCUGACGUUAGCGGCGGACGGGUGAGUAACACGUGGAUAACCUACCUAUAAGACUGGGAUAACUUCGGGAAACCGGAGCUAAUACCGGAUAACAUGUUGAACCGCAGGGUUCAACAGUGAAAGACGGUCUUGCUGUCACUUAUAGACGGAUCCGCGCCGCAUUAGCUAGUUGGUAAGGUAACGGCUUACCAAGGCAACGAUGCGUAGCCGACCUGAGAGGGUGAUCGGCCACACUGGAACUGAGACACGGUCCAGACUCCUACGGGAGGCAGCAGUAGGGAAUCUUCCGCAAUGGGCGAAAGCCUGACGGAGCAACGCCGCGUGAGUGAAGAAGGUCUUCGGAUCGUAAAACUCUGUUAUUAGGGAAGAACAAAUGUGUAAGUAACUAUGCACGUCUUGACGGUACCUAAUCAGAAAGCCACGGCUAACUACGUG